AAUGCUCUGGGGCUGGAUGGGAUCCACCCAAGGGUGCUGAAGGAGCUGGAGGAAGUGCUCACUGAGCCACUUCCCAUCAUUUAUCAGCAGUCCUGGCUAA